UGUUCCUAUUUUUUUUUUUUUUUUAUUUUUUUUUUACAUUUUGUCAUUGUGAUUAUUGUUUGAAGUUAUGUAAAAUAUAACAAAUGUUUGACUAUUCAACAUUGCAAAUACUUUUACUUUUAUACAUUUUUUUUAUUUUACACAGUUGGUGACUGUUACACAUCUCACCAAAGUAGUUUCUAUAUAUUCAUGUAAAACAAUCAAGGAUUGGCCACCAUUCUGAGGUUCUCAUCAAUCUCUUGGCAUUCCUAACAACUUCAUUUAUUUCCUGACAAAUAGUUUGUGUGAAUAGGAAAGUGUGUCAUUAACUUGCUCUUAAUAAAACAAAAUGAUAAACC